UACGUAGGUGGCAAGCGUUGUCCGGAAUUAUUGGGCGUAAAGCGCGCGCAGGCGGCCUCUUAAGUCUGAUGUGAAAGCCCCCGGCUCAACCGGGGAGGGCCAUUGGAAACUGGGAGGCUUGAGUAUAGGAGAGAAGAGUGGAAUUCCACGUGUAGCGGUGAAAUGCGUAGAGAUGUGGAGGAACACCAGUGGCGAAGGCGACUCUUGGCCUAUAACUGACGCUGAGGCGCGAAAGCGUGGGAGCAAACAGG
rnacentral:rRNA from 1 species